ensembl:snRNA U2 U2 spliceosomal RNA
AUCACUUCUUGGCCUUUUGGCUAAGAUCAAGUGUAGAAACAUAGAUCAAUGAAUAAAGGACAAUUUUUCCAAUCAGAUCUUGCUUUUCUAAUACUUUGGGGAAAUGUAUUUUUCUCAAGUAAAGAUUAAUAAUU